UGCAAGUCGAGGGGCAGCAUGGUCUUAGCUUGCUAAGUUUGAUGGCGACCGGCGCACGGGUGAGUAACACGUAUCCAACCUGCCUCAUACUCGGGGAUAGCCUUUCGAAAGAAAGAUUAAUAUCCGAUGGUAUAUUAAACCGCAUGGUUUACUAUUAAAGAAUUUCGGUUAUCGAUGGGGAUGCGUUCCAUUAGUUUGUUGGCGGGUAACGGCCCACCAAGACUACGAUGGAUAGGGGUUCUGAGAGGAAGGUCCCCACAUUGGAACUGAGACACGGUCCAAACUCC
rnacentral:rRNA from 1 species